ensembl:lncRNA
GUGUCGUAGUGGUGUGUUGGUAAAGUUCUGAGUGUUUCUGCUAGGUGUCGUAGUGGUGUGUUGGUAAAGUUCUGAGUGUUUCUGCUAGGUGUCGUAGUGGUGUGUUGGUAAAGUUCUGAGUGUUUCUGCUAGGUGUCGUAGUGGUGUGUUGGUAAAGUUCUGAGAGUGUUUCUGCAGGCUAGGCGUCGUAGUGGUGUGUUGGUAAAGUUCUGAGUGUUUCUGCUAGGUGUCGUAGUGGUGUGUUGGUAAAGUUCUGAGUGUUUCUGCAGGCUAGGCGUCGUAGUGGUGUGUUGGUAAAGUUCUGAGUGUUUCUGCAGGCUAGGCGUCGUAGUGGUGUGGUGGUAAAGUUCUGAGUGUUUCUGCUAGGUGUCGUAGUGGUGUG